GACGAACGCUGGCGGCGUGCUUAACACAUGCAAGUCGAACGAAGUGGCGAACGGGUGUGUAACGCGUAAUCAACCUGCCCUUCAGAGGGGGACAACAGUUGGAAACGACUGCUAAUACCGCAUACUGAAGGAGGGGUUUUCGUCUGUUUGGCUCGUUGGUGGGGAAACGGCCCACCAAGGCGUUGAUCAGUAGCCGGUCUGAGAGGAUGGACAGCCACAUUGGGACUGAGACACGGCCCAGACUUCUACGGGAGGCAGCAGUGGGGAAUCUUCCGUAAGUGACGAAAGUCUGACGGAGCAACGCCGCGUGAGGGAUGACGGCCUUCGGGGUGUAAAGCUCUGUUAAUCGGGACGCGGUACCGGAAUAGAAAGCCACGGCUAACUACGUGCCAGCCGCCGCGGUAAUUC
rnacentral:rRNA from 1 species